AAAGCGCGAUAGUUAGUGUGAAUUGCAGACGUGAAUCAUUGAGUUUUUGAACGCACAUUGCACUUUCUGGUAUUCCGGGAAGUAUACUUGUGCGAGCGUCAUUUCAUCUUCUCAAGCAAUUGAGUGUUGGGGCUGUUGUUAGCUCUGAAAAAGAUGAUAGAGUACAUGUUAGACACAAUGUGCUUUCUAUAUUUUUGACCUCGUAUCAAGCAAGAUUACCCGCUGAACUUAA
rnacentral:misc_RNA from 1 species